UGUCCGCCAGAAAAUUACGGGCGAAAGCCUAAAACUCAAAAGACUUGACGGUGUCCCAAUCCUACCUAGAGGAGCCUGUUUCAUAAUCGAUAAUCCCCGCUCAACCCAACCUCUCCUUGCAGCCUAUAUACCGCCGUGCCUACCUUUUGAAAGAGUAGGCUCAAUAGAACUAAAAAGUCAGGUCAAGGUGUAGCUUAUGGAGAGGGGAAAAUGGGCUACAUUUUCUAACGGAAAGUACCCUGAAAUUAAGGUACAUAAAGGAGGAUUUAGUAGUAAG
rnacentral:rRNA from 1 species